AGCGAACGCUGGCGGCAUGCCUAACACAUGCAAGUCGCACGGGGGGGCUUCGGCCUCCCAGUGGCGGACGGGUGAGGAACGCGUAGGGACCUGUCGAGGGGUGGGGGAUAACCGCGGGAAACUGCGGCUAAUACCGCAUGACGCCGCGGCGUGACAGCCGGGGCCAAAGGCGAAAGCCGCCCGCCGAGGGGCCUGCGUCCGAUUAGCUGGUUGGCGGGGUAGCGGCCCACCAAGGCGUCGAUCGGUAGCUGGUCUGAGAGGGUGAUCAGCCACACCGGGACUGAGACACGGCCCGGACUCCUACGGGAGGCAGAAGUGGGGAAUAUUGGACAAUGGGCGCAAGCCUGAUCCAGCAAUGCCGCGUGGGUGAAGAAGGUCUUCGGAUUGUAAAGCCCUUUCGGCGGGGACGAUGGUGACGGUACCCGCAGAAGAAGCCCCGGCUAACUUCGUG
rnacentral:rRNA from 1 species